UACGUAGGUGGCAAGCGUUGUCCGGAUUUACUGGGCGUAAAGAGCGCGCAGGCGGUCGUUCAAGUCGAGUGUGAAAGCCCCCGGCUCAACUGGGGAGGGUCACUCGAUACUGAUCGACUCGAAGGCAGAAGAGGGAAGCGGAAUUCCCGGUGUAGUGGUGAAAUGCGUAGAUAUCGGGAGGAACACCAGUGGCGAAGGCGGCUUUCUGGACCACAACUGACGCUGAGGCGCGAAAGCUAGGGGAGCAAACAGG
rnacentral:rRNA from 1 species